rnacentral:rRNA from 1 species
GCACAAGCGGUGGAGCAUGUGGUUAAUUCGAAGCAACGCGAAGAACCUUACCAGGUCUUGACAUCCCUCGACAACCCGAGAGAUCGGGCGUUCCCCUUCGGGGGACAGGGUGACAGGUGGUGCAUGGUUGUCGUCAGCUCGUGUCGUGAGAUGUUGGGUUAAGUCCCGCAACGAGCGCAACCCUCGACCUUAGUUGCCAGCAUUCAGUUGGGCACUCUAAGGUGACUGCCGGCUAAAAGUCGGAGGAAGGUGGGGAUGACGUCAAAUCAUCAUGCCCCUUAUGACCUGGGCUACACACGUGCUACAAUGGGCGGUACAAAGGGUCGCGAACCCGCGAGGGGGAGCCAAUCCCAAAAAGCCGCUCUCAGUUCGGAUUGCAGGCUGCAACUCGCCUGCAUGAAGCCGGAAUCGCUAGUAAUCGCGGAUCAGCAUGCCGCGGUGAAUACGUUCCCGGGCCUU